GACGAACGCUGGCGGCGUGCUUAACACAUGCAAGUCGAACGGAAAGGCCUCUUUCGGUGGGUACUCGAGUGGCGAACGGGUGAGUAACACGUGAGUAACCUGCCCUUGACGUUGGGAUACGUUCAGGAAACUGGGGCUAAUACCGGAUAGGAGCGCCUGCUGCAUGGGGGGGGUUGGAGAGUUUCGGCGGUGGGGGGUGGACUGGCGGGAUAUCAGCUUGUGGGUGGGGUAGUGGCUUACCAGGGCUUUGACGUGUAGAGGCCCUGAGAGGGUGACCGGCCACCUUGGGACUGAGAUGCGGCCGCGGCUCCGACGGGAGGCAGAAGGGGGGAAUAUUGCACCAUGGGUGGAAGGCUGAUGCAGCAACGCCGUGUGCGGGAUGGCGGCCUUAGGGUUGUGAACCGCUUUCGCUCAUGACGAAGGUUUGUGUGACGGUAGUGGGUAAAGAAGCACCGGCUAACUACGUG
rnacentral:rRNA from 1 species